GUAUUUAUAGUUUAACCAAAACAUUAGAUUGUGGUUCUAAAAAUAAGAGUUAAAACCUUUUUAACUACC
rnacentral:tRNA from 1 species